rnacentral:tRNA from 1 species
AAGCGGUUAAGACGUCGCCCUCUCACGGCGAAAACAGGGGUUCGAUUCCCCUACGA